GGUUGUGGCUCAGUGGCAGAGCGCUUGCCUAGCACGUGUGAGGCACUGAGUUCAAUUCUCAGCACCA
rnacentral:tRNA from 1 species